UACGGGGGGGGCAAGCGUUGUUCGGAAUUACUGGGCGUAAAGAGCACGUAGGUGGUUGCAUAAGUCUGUUAUAAAAUCCCCGGGCUCAACCUGGGAACUGUAAUAGAAACUAUGCGGCUAGAGUAUGGGAGAGGAGAGUAGAAUUCCUGGUGUAGCGGUGAAAUGCGUAGAUAUCGGGAGGAACACCGGUGGCGAAGGCGGUUCUCUGGGCCUUACCUGACGCUGAGGAGCGAAAGCGUGGGGAGCGAACAGG
rnacentral:rRNA from 1 species